AUUGAACGCUGGCGGCAGGCCUAACACAUGCAAGUCGAGCGGAUGAAGGGAGCUUGCUCCUGGAUUCAGCGGCGGACGGGUGAGUAAUGCCUAGGAAUCUGCCUGGUAGUGGGGGAUAACGUCCGGAAACGGGCGCUAAUACCGCAUACGUCCUGAGGGAGAAAGUGGGGGAUCUUCGGACCUCACGCUAUCAGAUGAGCCUAGGUCGGAUUAGCUAGUUGGUGGGGUAAAGGCCUACCAAGGCGACGAUCCGUAACCGGUCUGAGAGGAUGAUCAGUCACACUGGAACUGAGACACGGUCCAGACUCCUACGGGAGGCAGCAGUGGGGAAUAUUGGACAAUGGGCGAAAGCCUGAUCCAGCCAUGCCGCGUGUGUGAAGAAGGUCUUCGGAUUGUAAGGCACUUUAAGUUGGGAGGAAGGGCAGUAAGUUAAUACCUUGCUGUUUUGACGUUACCAACAGAAUAAGCACCGGCUAACUUCGUG
rnacentral:rRNA from 1 species